rnacentral:rRNA from 1 species
GACGAACGCUGGCGGCGUGCUUAACACAUGCAAGUCGAACGGAAAGGCCUGCUUUCCCUUGUGGAUUGCGGGUACUCGAGUGGCGAACGGGUGAGUAACACGUGAGUGAUCUGCCCCCAACUUGGGUAUAAGCCUGGGAAACUGGGUCUAAUUCCCGAUAGGACUGCAGGGUGGUGCCUGUGGUGGAAAACGAUUUUCUAGUGGUUGGGGAUGAGCUCGCGGCCUAUCAGCUUGUUGGUGGGGUAAUGGCCUACCAAGGCGGCGACGGGUAGCCGGCCUGAGAGGGUGGACGGCCACAUUGGGACUGAGAUACGGCCCAGACUCCUACGGGAGGCAGCAGUGGGGAAUAUGGCACAAUGGGCGGAAGCCUGAUGCAGCGACGCCGCGUGGGGGAUGACGGCCUUCGGGCUGUAAACUCCUUUCGACCGCGAGGAAGCCACCUGGUUGGAAGGGUGGUGACGGUAGUGGUAGAAGAAGCACCGGCUAACUACGUG